rnacentral:rRNA from 1 species
CGAACGGAAAGGCCCUUCGGGGUACUCGAGUGGCGAACGGGUGAGUAACACGUGGGUGAUCUGCCCUGCACUUUGGGAUAAGCCUGGGAAACUGGGUCUAAUACCGAAUAGGACCGCAUGCUUCAUGGUGUGUGGUGGAAAGCUUUUGCGGUGUGGGAUGGGCCCGCGGCCUAUCAGCUUGUUGGUGAGGUAAUGGCUUACCAAGGCGACGACGGGUAGCCGGCCUGAGAGGGUGACCGGCCACACUGGGACUGAGAUACGGCCCAGACUCCUACGGGAGGCAGCAGUGGGGAAUAUUGCACAAUGGGCGCAAGCCUGAUGCAGCGACGCCGCGUGAGGGAUGACGGCCUUCGGGUUGUAAACCUCUUUCGCCAGGGACGAAGCGCAAGUGACGGUACCUGGAGAAGAAGGACCGGCCAACUACGUGCCAGCAGCCGCGGUAAUACGUAGGGUCCGAGCGUUGUCCGGAAUUACUGGGCGUAAAGAGCUCGUAGGUGGUUUGUCGCGUUGUUCGUGAAAACUCACAGCUUAACUGUGGGCGUGCGGGCGAUACGGGCAGACUUGAGUACUGCAGGGGAGACUGGAAUUCCUGGUGUAGCGGUGGAAUGCGCAGAUAUCAGGAGGAACACCGGUGGCGAAGGCGGGUCUCUGGGCAGUAACUGACGCUGAGGAGCGAAAGCGUGGGGAGCGAACAGGAUUAGAUACCCUGGUAGUCCACGCCGUAAACGGUGGGUACUAGGUGUGGGUUUCCUUCCUUGGGAUCCGUGCCGUAGCUAACGCAUUAAGUACCCCGCCUGGGGAGUACGGCCGCAAGGCUAAAACUCAAAGAAAUUGACGGGGGCCCGCACAAGCGGCGGAGCAUGUGGAUUAAUUCGAUGCAACGCGAAGAACCUUACCUGGGUUUGACAUGCACAGGACGCCGGCAGAGAUGUCGGUUCCCUUGUGGCCUGUGUGCAGGUGGUGCAUGGCUGUCGUCAGCUCGUGUCGUGAGAUGUUGGGUUAAGUCCCGCAACGAGCGCAACCCUUGUCUCAUGUUGCCAGCACGUUAUGGUGGGGACUCGUGAGAGACUGCCGGGGUCAACUCGGAGGAAGGUGGGGAUGACGUCAAGUCAUCAUGCCCCUUAUGUCCAGGGCUUCACACAUGCUACAAUGGCCGGUACAAAGGGCUGCGAUGCCGUGAGGUGGAGCGAAUCCUUUCAAAGCCGGUCUCAGUUCGGAUCGGGGUCUGCAACUCGACCCCGUGAAGUCGGAGUCGCUAGUAAUCGCAGAUCAGCAACGCUGCGGUGAAUACGUUCCCGGGCCUUGUACACACCGCCCGUCAC